rnacentral:rRNA from 1 species
GAUGAACGCUAGCUACAGGCUUAACACAUGCAAGUCGAGGGGCAGCAUAAAACUAGCUUGCUAGUUUUGAUGGCGACCGGCGCACGGGUGAGUAACGCGUAUCCGACCUACCCAUAACUCGGGCACAGCCACUCGAAAGAGCGAUUGAUUCCCGAUAUGUCUUUAGAGUAGAUCUAAUGAUGAAAGAUUCAUCGGUUAUGGAUGGGGAUGCGUAAGAUUAGGUAGUAGGCGGGGUAACGGCCCACCUAGCCGACGAUCUUUAGGGGUUCUGAGAGGAAGGUCCCCCACACUGGUACUGAGACACGGACCAGACUCCUACGGGAGGCAGCAGUGAGGAAUAUUGGUCAAUGGGCGGAAGCUUGAACCAGCCAAGUAGCGUGAAGGAUUACAGCCCUACGGGUUUUAAACUUCUUUUAUAUGAAAGUAAUGUGCACUACGUGUAGUGUAUUGCGGGUAUCAUAUGAAUAAGCAUCGGCUAACUCCGUGCCAGCAGCCGCAGUAAGAC